AAGUGAGAAUGCCGGUGUGAGUAGCGAAAGACGGGUGAGAAUCCCGUCCACCGAUUGACUAAGGUUUCCAGAGGAAGGCUCGUCCGCUCUGGGUUAGUCGGGUCCUAAGCUGAGGCCGACAGGCGUAGGCGAUGGAUAACAGGUUGAUAUUCCUGUACCACCUAUAAUCGUUUUAAUCGAUGGGGGGACGCAGUAGGAUAGGCGAAGCGUGCGAUUGGAUUGCACGUCUAAGCAGUAAGGCUGAGUAUUAGGCAAAUCCGGUACUCGUUAAGGCUGAGCUGUGAUGGGGAGAAGACAUUGUGUCUUCGAGUCGUUGAUUUCACACUGCCGAGAAAAGCCUCUAGAUAGAAAAUAGGUGCCCGUACCGCAAACCGACACAGGUAGUCAAGAUGAGAAUUCUAAGGUGAGCGAGCGAACUCUCGUUAAGGAACUCGGCAAAAUGACCCCGUAACUUCGGGAGAAGGGGUGCUCUUUAGGGUUAACGCCCAGAAGAGCCGCAGUGAAUAGGCCCAAGCGACUGUUUAUCAAAAACACAGGUCUCUGCUAAACCGUAAGGUGAUGUAUAGGGGCUGACGCCUGCCCGGUGCUGGAAGGUUAAGAGGAGUGGUUAGCUUCUGCGAAGCUACGAAUCGAAGCCCCAGUAAACGGCGGCCGUAACUAUAACGGUCCUAAGGUAGCGAAAUUCCUUGUCGGGUAAGUUCCGACCCGCACGAAAGGCGUAACGAUUUGGGCACUGUCUCAACGAGAGACUCGGUGAAAUCAUAGUACCUGUGAAGAUGCAGGUUACCCGCGACAGGACGGAAAGACCCCGUGGAGCUUUACUGUAGCCUGAUAUUGAAAUUCGGCACAGCUUGUACAGGAUAGGUAGGAGCCUUUGAAACGUGAGCGCUAGCUUACGUGGAGGCGCUGGUGG
rnacentral:rRNA from 1 species